rnacentral:rRNA from 1 species
GCCGGAGGAUGCAAGCGUUAUCCGGAAUUAUUGGGCGUAAAGCGUCCGCAGGUGGACCUACAAGUCUGCUGUCAAAGUGCAGAGCUUAACUCUGUAAAGGCGGUGGAAACUGUAGGUCUUGAGUAUGGUAGGGGUAGAGGGAAUUCCCGGUGUAGCGGUGAAAUGCGUAGAUAUCGGGAAGAACACCAGUGGCGAAAGCGCUCUACUGGGCCAUAACUGACACUGAGGGACGAAAGCUAGGGGAGCGAAAGGG